GCAUUUGUAGUCCAACGCUUAGAAUAAUUGCCUACCAAGCAAUAGACUCGGGUUUGACUCUCGGCAAACGCA
rnacentral:tRNA from 1 species